AACGCGUGAGAAUCUGCCCUUAGGAGGGGGACAACAGUUGGAAACGACUGCUAAUACCCCAUAUGCCGAGAGGUGAAACAUUAAUGGCCUGAGGAGGAGCUCGCGUCUGAUUAGCUAGUUGGUGGGGUAACGGCCUACCAAGGCGACGAUCAGUAGCUGGUCUGAGAGGAUGAUCAGCCACACUGGGACUGAGACACGGCCCAGACUCCUACGGGAGGCAGCAGUGGGGAAUUUUCCGCAAUGGGCGAAAGCCUGACGGAGCAAGACCGCGUGAGGGAGGAAGGUCUGUGGAUUGUAAACCUCUUUUCUCAGGGAAGAAGAACUGACGGUACCUGAGGAAUCAGCAUCGGCUAACUCCGUGCCAGCAGCCGCGGUAAUACGGAGGAUGCAAGCGUUAUCCGGAAUUAUUGGGCGUAAAGCGUCCGUAGGUGGCUAAGCAAGUCUGCUGUUAAAGAGCGGAGCUAAACUCCGUAAAGGCGGUGGAAACUGCAUAGCUAGAGUGUGGUAGGGGUAGAGGGAAUUCCCAGUGUAGCGGUGAAAUGCGUAGAUAUUGGGAAGAACACCGGUGGCGAAGGCGCUCUACUGGGCCACAACUGACACUGAUGGACGAAAGCUAGGGGAGCGAAAGGGAUUAGAU
rnacentral:rRNA from 1 species